UACAUGAUUCUUUUAAUAACAGAAAGAUGAACUCAGAGCAGGGUUAAACCUGAGUUACUCUAAUUUCAAAAGAAUGAAGUCAGGAAGUUAAAGGGUGAAGAUAAUACACACAUAAGUUAAAAGCCAACCAAAACGCACUUGGCAAGAGGACAGACAUUUCUCAGCAACUGUCACACAUCAAGUCAGAAUAUGGAACUUUAUAUAACUGGUGUUUCAAGAAACUGAAUCAGGAUCUAGUCACACAGACUUAUGCACUCUACUAGAUGAAUGGCAAAAUGUGCGACAGAAUUUCUGAUAAGUGGAUUGUGAAUCCUAUUUGCUUACUGAACAACUGAAUUUUCAACACGGG